UCGAGAAUCAUUCGCAAUGGGCGAAAGCCUGACGGUGCGACGUCGCGUGGAGGAUGACGGUCUUCGGAUUGUAAACUCCUGUCAUGUGGGAUAAAUAGCCCGGGUGUGAAUAGCACUUGGGACUGAUAGUACCACAGGAGGAAGAGACGGCUAACUCUGUGCCAGCAGCCGCGGUAAUUCAGAGGUCUCGAGCGUUGUUCGGAUUUACUGGGCGUAAAGGGAGCGUAGGCGGACGGGUGUGUCGAAUGUGAAAGCCCACAACUCAACUGUGGAAUGGCAUUCGAAACUACCUGGCUAGAGUACUGGAGAGGAGAGCGGAAUUCUUGGUGUAGCGGUGAAAUGCGUAGAUAUCAAGAGGAACACCGGUGGCGAAGGCGGCUCUCUGGACAGAUACUGACGCUGAGGCUCUAAAGUUAGGGGAGCAAACAGG
rnacentral:rRNA from 1 species